AUUGAACGCUGGCGGCAGGCCUAACACAUGCAAGUCGAGCGGUAACAUUUCAAAAGCUUGCUUUUGAAGAUGACGAGCGGCGGACGGGUGAGUAAUGCCUGGGAAUUUGCCCAUUUGUGGGGGAUAACAGUUGGAAACGACUGCUAAUACCGCAUACGCCCUACGGGGGAAAGCAGGGGAACUUCGGUCCUUGCGCUGAUGGAUAAGCCCAGGUGGGAUUAGCUAGUAGGUGAGGUAAUGGCUCACCUAGGCAACGAUCCCUAGCUGGUCUGAGAGGAUGAUCAGCCACACUGGGACUGAGACACGGCCCAGACUCCUACGGGAGGCAGCAGUGGGGAAUAUUGCACAAUGGGGGAAACCCUGAUGCAGCCAUGCCGCGUGUGUGA
rnacentral:rRNA from 1 species